GAUCAUGGCUCAGGAUGAACGCUAGCGACAGGCUUAACACAUGCAAGUCGAGGGGCAGCAUAAAAGUAGCAAUACUUGGUGGCGACCGGCGCACGGGUGAGUAACGCGUAUGCAACCUACCUAUCAGGAGGGGAAUAACCCGGCGAAAGUCGGACUAAUACCGCAUAAAACAGGGGCACCGCAUGGUGAUAUUUGUUAAAGAAAUUCGCUGAUAGAUGGGCAUGCGUUCCAUUAGGUAGUUGGUGAGGUAACGGCUCACCAAGCCGACGAUGGAUAGGGAACUGAGAGGUUGGUCCCCCACACUGGUACUGAGACACGGACCAGACUCCUACGGGAGGCAGCAGUGAGGAAUAUUGGUCAAUGGGCGGGGAGCCUGAACCAGCCAAGUCGCGUAGGAAGGAAGAAGGAUCUAUGGUUCGUAAACUUCUUUGCGAGGGGAAUAAAGUGCAGGACGUGUCCUGUUUUGUUAUGUACCCUGAGAAUAAGGAUCGGCUAACUCCGUGCCAGCAGCCGC
rnacentral:rRNA from 1 species